rnacentral:rRNA from 1 species
UACGUAGGGUGCGAGCGUUAAUCGGAAUUACUGGGCGUAAAGCGUACGCAGGCGGCUGGGUAAGACAGGUGUGAAAUCCCCGGGCUUAACCUGGGAACUGCAUUUGUGACUGCCCGGCUAGAGUCCGUUAGAGGGGGGUGGAAUUCCACGUGUAGCGGUGAAAUGCGUAGAGAUGUGGAGGAACCCCGAUGGCGAAGGCGGCCCCCUGGGACAGGCCUGACGCUCAUGUGCGAUAGCGUGGGGAGCAAACAGG